UACGGAGGGUGCAAACGUUGCUCGGAAUCAUUGGGCGUAAAGCGCACGUAGGCGGUCCAGAAGGUCGGGUGUGAAAGCCCUCGGCUCAACCGAGGAAGUGCAUUCGAAACCACUGAACUUGAGUAUGGAAGAGGGUCGCGGAAUUCCCGGUGUAGAGGUGAAAUUCGUAGAUAUCGGGAGGAACACCAGUGGCGAAGGCGGCGACCUGGGCCAAUACUGACGCUGAGGUGCGAAAGCGUGGGGAGCGAACAGG
rnacentral:rRNA from 1 species